UUAGUAUAAACAUUAUACAAUAAUAAAUUUUUAGAAAGAAACCUCUUUUUUUCCUUUUUUUUAAAAGUUUGCUUAUUUAUUUGUUUAUUUAGAGAAGGAAUCCCAAGCAGGCUCUGCAUUGUCAGCGCGGAGCCUGAUGCAGGGCUCAAAUUCACAAACCAUGAGAUCACGACCUGAGCUGAAACCAAGAGUUAGAUGCUUAACCAACUGAGCCACUCAGGUGCCCCAAGAAAGAAAUGUUUUGAAAAUCUUCAUAAUUUAAAAAAUCUUAAAAAUCUUCAUAAUUUAAGUGAAGAAAAGUUGAUGUCUCAUAUUUCAACACAAUUGCCAUAGUACACAGCAGAGAAAAACAAAUCUAUGAAGAUCUUGUGUUUCCUUUUAGAUUAUUGAAGGAAUUUUGAUGGCAAUGUUAAUAAUAAAAAUUAAUAGUACUGUAUUUUUAGCAAGCAUCUAUAGCACUACCAGGGAUUGUUCUAAGUGCUUUACAAGAGGUAGUUAUUAUUACUGUUCUAUUUUA